rnacentral:rRNA from 1 species
GGGUGCGAUCAUACCAGCACUAAUGCACCGGAUCCCAUCAGAACUCCGCUGUUAAGCGUGCUUGGGGGAGAGUAGUACUAGGAUGGGUGACUUCCUGGGAAGUCCUGGUGUUGCACCCC